ensembl:lncRNA
CAGACUGUUUCCUGAACCAGUAGCCUGCAAUGCGUCUGUGGCACAACGGCUGUUUCUAUAAAGUUGGGCAGUUCAGACUUUGCAAGGACAGUUGCUUCAGACUCACAGCCUUGGAGUCUGGAGCUUCGCCAGCAUGCAGUGAACCAGAGAAGUGGAGAGACGUCCCAGCGGCCCACAGCUCUGACAACACCCUUCUAUCCCCCUCUGAAAUCUUUAUUUACUGCCCCCGCACUACUGCUCCCUCGCUGGGGCAAUUAAAGCAUCGUUGUGUCAGACGAACAAAGAAAGCCAAAAAGAUCAAUUAAUUUUAGUGAAUCAUGAUUCACUGACACAUUUGAGUCCUGUGCAGCAGAAUAAUUAUCUAACUGUGAAAUAAAGUCAAACAGGACUGUGGAAUGACACAAGGAAAACCAUCCCGGCUAGUCCAAACAUGGGAGCGAUUCUCAGAUUUCAGACCCCCACCUUGUCUUUUGUGCCGAGUUCAGUGAGGCUCCUGGUUAGAAAUGUACACACGUCUAAUUUGAGUUAGAAGAUCUGUGAAUAACCCGAAAGGGAUCAAAUUAAAAUUCCAAGACGGGUGGAAAAAAAGCGAUAUGGGGUUUGAAAGUGGCCCCUGCUUCUUUAAGCUGGAUUUAAGUGAUCAAAGUUCCAUAUGAGGCAGCCAUUGGUGGUAUUGAGUUACUCUAAUGGCUGCCAUGUGCUACUGCCGACGGGCCCGAUCUGCGGACGUCUCAAGGGUGUCGGGCGCAAGACAGUUGUAAAAAGAGGCUUUACAAUAGAGAGAGCGGCAAAAAACCAGAUGCAUGGUGCACUUUCAGACCUCGCUCGCUGGAGAUACUCUGCAUUUUUUUCCGAAUUAGCUCCAGAUUUUUUGAAAGCAUCGAUCAAGGCGUCCGGCGGGUCUCUCAAGACCGUGCCACCCGACAGCGGCCCCCUCUCUAUUGCUUAUUUACUGAUGCGUGGCUUCCCCAUUCCCACUAAACUGCAGGAGACACAAGUGACAAUAAAAGUCAAACACUCGGUGGUUGCCGGAGUCCUGGCUGGUUAUUAGUAUGUAAAUGAAAUCAUCACAGCUGUUCUAUGCACGGAGAGGGGGAGAGAGGAGACAACGAACCCUGCAUUCUGAUGCUGUCUCCUGAACAACCAUCAGGCGCUGGCCACCUCUUCCAUACCCUGCAGUCAAGCACAUCCCGACCAACCCGACACAGCAACAUCAGAUCAACCAAUGGGAUGACUCUUGGAAUCAGACAGCGGUUAAACUUUCACGCCGAAGACGUGCAGACGUGAUCGCCAGAAUGUCGCACCUGAUUCCUGAGCCCAGAGGAGAAUUUUAGCGCUCAGAUGUUGCUCUUUCAAGGCUCCAGAGACUUGAAGGCAUCAUGAAAUUUACAUUAUUUACUUUUGCAAUGCAUGUCUGUGGUCUCAUCGUGCAUGAUUCAUCAGUACAUGCUGUUUGAAAGGACAAAAAGAAAAGCACUUCCAAACUGAAUUUCUCACAGGUUGCUCAUUCAUAUCUCAAAAGACCUAUUGGAAAUCCUAGUUAUAUUUCAUGAAAGUCCAUCUGUGCCGAAUUGCUCACAAGUUGCUCAUUCACAGCUCAAAUAAGGAAAGCCCAUCCAAACGGAAUUGAGCACAGGUUGCUCAUUCAUGACUCAAAAGUCCAAAUAGAGAUCCUAAUUAUGUUUCAUUUAAGUAUCAACUUGGUUUCAGAUGUUUCUUCUAAAAUUCCUUUGAAUAAAAAUAAAUCAGUCAAUACUCAAGUACAGAGCUAUAAAAUGAACAUGGACAGCGUAGUUCAAAUCAUAUGGUCUCUGAAUAUUUUGAUGAGAAAUGUUGGAGUUCACAUUGAGAUCUUCUGUGCAGGUGCCAUUCGGUUUUGGCACUUCCUUCCCGCGCCCAAGUAUCCAGCCGCAUGAUGGAUGAAGCAAGCGAAUUGCAGUGUGCAGUAUUUUGCCGCAGUUGAUUGCAAACUGACUCCGGGUAACAUAAUUAUUUACACUGACACAAUAAUGUAAAAUGAUUAACAUCCGCUCAUAUUCAUACCCAUAUAAAUCACUGGCCCACGUCGAGUUCAUCAUUCGGGGAGGGCCAGCGUCUCGCCCUGAGAUUGGAUGGCGGCCAGAUAAGAAGAGUAUUAAUCGUGGAGAAUAUGCCGCAUGGUCGUUUAAAACUUCGAGAAAAGAGAGGCCCUGGCAGAGUGUUUGGCAGAGCGAUGGUUUCUGGCUCCAGCGGGCAGCGCUCAAGAUGGAUUACCACCCUCCAAACGUCCACGUCCGCACCUGACUUCUCAACAUAGAUGUCCUACCUGUGCAUGAAAUAGGGCUUGACCGGCCAACAUGCACUUUUUCUACCCCUUUCUCCCCCAAAAUGAGAAUUACUGCUGGGAGGCUCUGGACAAUUUUAUGUAGGGCUGGAGAACAAAAAUCAAUAUUUAAUUAUCUGUGAGCGUUUGGUGUCACUACAUCUUUAGAUCUGUAGGGUGGAGUGGACAGGGUCACCGGGCCGGUAAGUGAGUCCGUCAGUGACGAGGCCGUCUCGUCCCAAGGCUCCGAUUGGCCUGUCUUCAAUCACCACAAGAGUGAUGACUGAUAAGUCAUUUAUUCGUCGACCUGUGUGUUUGGAGAAGGCCACCUUAAGAAUGAGCCUGCGUGACAUGCGUACAGUACGCUUGAAGUUAAAUAUGGUUUUGACCUAUCAGAAAUAUGGCUUAAAUGCCCCACCUAGAGGUAGGAUGGGACACUUACUGCUUUGGUGGGUGGAAUCCAAAGCAUGCAUGUUGAGAGGAGUGUGAAUUCAUUUUAGUAACCAAAGAGCGGAGCAUAAUACUUGUCAGUAUUUUAUUAUUUCCCAAUUUUAAUCAGAAAUAGGAAACAUGCCUGUUCAGUUAAGGACCAUUUGAUUCACAGUGGGCUCCCAAAGUCUGAGAUCCAUUG